UACGUAGGGGGCAAGCGUUGUCCGGAAUCAUUGGGCGUAAAGAGCGUGUAGGCGGCCCGAUAAGUCCGCUGUGAAAGUCCAGGGCUCAACCCUGGAAUGCCAGUGGAAACUGUCGGGCUAGAGUCCGGAAGAGGCGAGUGGAAUUCCUGGUGUAGCGGUGAAAUGCGCAGAUAUCAGGAGGAACACCAAUGGCGAAGGCAGCUCGCUGGGACGGUACUGACGCUGAGACGCGAAAGCGUGGGGAGCGAACAGG
rnacentral:rRNA from 1 species